rnacentral:sRNA from 1 species
GAUAUCAGGGUCAAAAGGUUAUGCGUUUCAUGCUUGCAUGAAAAAGCAUGACUUUGGGACCCGUAAAACAUGAGAAAGCAGCCCGAACAGGGCGGAUUUCGAAUGUUUUCAGGAUUGCGGGAGCAUGAAAUGCGGAGCAAUCCGUAGGUAUC